CCUAUUAUAAGAUAAAUAAAUCUAGAGAGUUGUGGUCUCUUUAAUCCUUUAAAGGUAAUAAGU
rnacentral:tRNA from 1 species